rnacentral:lncRNA from 1 species
GUUUGAGUCCCUUUUUUAGUAAUUUUGCUAUUUUUAAUCCUAUCCGUAUCCCUUUUAGGUGGGCUUAUGUUAUAUUUUCUGUGAACUCAUAUCAAAAUGACCCUGUAGGUUCAAGUGGUAAGGUGUUAGCUUACCUUAGGGUCUUGUGUUCGAAUCCUUGCGCGAGCGUGGUUAUAAUUUUUGCUUCGGUUGUCUGAUAGAGUUUGGGUGGAAGUGAAAUUCUGAGGUAGUUGGAUGUGGUUAGUGGGUGAGAUUUAGUUGGAUUGUGUAGUUAGUGGGUUAGUGGGAGUUAGAGGAAUUUAGGGAUUAUUUUUUUAUAUUAAUUUUAUUUUUUUUCCCGUAAUUCUUUUUCUGGUUUGACGUCAUUUUUGUUUUUCUCUUUGUCUUCUUUAUUUCGUCUCUAUUUUCUCCUCUUCCUAUUCCGUCGAUUUAGCCACCAUUUUCGUUCCUCGUUGCGUUGGGUAUUCU